CGGACGGGUGAGUAACGCGUGGGUAACCUGCCUCAUACAGGGGGAUAACAGUUAGAAAUGACUGCUAAUACCGCAUAAGCGCACAGAAUUGCAUGAUUCGGUGUGAAAAACUCCGGUGGUAUGAGAUGGACCCGCGUCUGAUUAGCUAGUUGGUGGGGUAAGGGCCUACCAAGGCGACGAUCAGUAGCCGACCUGAGAGGGUGAUCGGCCACAUUGGGACUGAGACACGGCCCAAACUCCUACGGAAGGCAGCAG
rnacentral:rRNA from 1 species